rnacentral:pre_miRNA from 1 species
CGUGCUUCUCAAUAGGCCAUACAGUCUGCCCCACACCCCUGGGGACCUAUGGAAUGUUGUGAAGUAUGU